UACGUAGGGUGCGAGCGUUGUCCGGAAUUAUUGGGCGUAAAGAGCUUGUAGGCGGUUUGUCGCGUCUGCUGUGAAAACCCGGGGCUCAACCCCGGGCCUGCAGUCGAUACGGGCAGACUAGAGGCAGGUAGGGGAGAAUGAAUUCCCGGUGUAGCGGUGAAAUGCGUAGAUAUCUGGAGGAACACCGGUGGCGAAGGCGGCAUCCUGGACCGACAUUGACGCUGAGGCGCGAAAGCCAGGGGAGCAAACGGG
rnacentral:rRNA from 1 species